UGGGGAAUUUUGGACAAUGGGCGAAAGCCUGAUCCAGCAAUGCCGCGUGUGUGAAGAAGGCCUUCGGGUUGUAAAGCACUUUUGUCCGGAAAGAAAUCCUUGGCUCUAAUACAGUCGGGGGAUGACGGUACCGGAAGAAUAAGCACCGGCUAACUACGUGCCAGCAGCCGCGGUAAUACGUAGGGUGCAAGCGUUAAUCGGAAUUACUGGGCGUAAAGCGUGCGCAGGCGGUUUGCUAAGACCGAUGUGAAAUCCCCGGGCUCAACCUGGGAACUGCAUUGGUGACUGGCAGGCUAGAGUAUGGCAGAGGGGGGUAGAAUUCCACGUGUAGCAGUGAAAUGCGUAGAGAUGUGGAGGAAUACCGAUGGCGAAGGCAGCCCCCUGGGCCAAUACUGACGCUCAUGCACGAAAGCGUGGGGAGCAAACAGGAUUAGAUACCCUGGUAGUCCACGCCCUAAACGAUGUCAACUAGUUGUUGGGGGAUUCAUUUUCCUUAGUAACGUAGCUAACGCGUGAAGUUGACCGCCU
rnacentral:rRNA from 1 species